UACGUAGGGGGCAAGCGUUAUCCAGAUUUACUGGGCGUAAAGCGCGUGUAGGCGGCUGGUUAGGUGUGAUGUGAAAUCUUCCGGCUCAACCGGAAAACUGCAUUGCAAACCGGCCUGGCUAGAGUGCAGGAGAGGGAAGCGGAAUUCCAGGUGUAGCGGUGAAAUGCGUAGAUAUCAGGAGGAACACCUGCGGUGUAGACGGCUUUCUGGACCAUUGCUGACGCUGAGACACGAAAGCGUGGGUAGCAAACAGG
rnacentral:rRNA from 1 species